AAAGUAAGAUAAUCGAGAAUAAGCUUCUAACUUAAUUCUUAAGCAAUGCAAUUUUGUUUUUACUUUU
rnacentral:tRNA from 1 species